rnacentral:rRNA from 1 species
AACGAACGCUGGCGGCAUGCCUAACACAUGCAAGUCGAACGAGACCUUCGGGUCUAGUGGCGCACGGGUGCGUAACGCGUGGGAACCUGCCUUUAGGUUCGGAAUAACUCAGAGAAAUUUGAGCUAAUACCGGAUAAUGUCUUCGGACCAAAGAUUUAUCGCCUUUAGAUAGGCCCGCGUUGGAUUAGCUAGUUGGUGGGGUAAAGGCCUACCAAGGCGACGAUCCAUAGCUGGGCUGAGAGGAUGAUCAGCCACACUGGGACUGAGACACGGCCCAGACUCCUACGGGAGGCAGCAGUGGGAAUAUUGGACAAUGGGCGAAAGCCUGAUCCAGCAAUGCCGCGUGAGUGAUGAAGGCCUUAGGGUUGUAAAGCUCUUUACCCGAGAUGAUAAUGACAGUAUCGGAGAAUAAGCUCCGGCUAACUCCGUGCCAGCAGCCGCGG